AAGUUCAGAGCUGAACUAUAGCAGGAGAGCUCUCAGGCAUCUACACCUUGCUCUUGAGCAUGGCUUACAUUUUCCUGAUUUUUUCCAGGGUAGCAGAAGGCACAUAAAUGAACUGUUGCCCUGGCAGCUGCAAAGUGGGCUGCCACAGUACUUCCCUGGCAUGUGUGGGGAGGUGGACAAACCCUACUUGACUGCCGUCAUUAUUAAAUGCAGAAAGAGAAAAUAGUAACAGGUCAUACUAUCGAGCCACUCUCAACCUGGCAGAUCGCUUCACCAGAGCAAGGACACAAGACAAGCCACAGAGAGAAUGUGGAAGGACCUGGAUCUAUUCUUCAAAGAUGUAAUCAUCAAGAGAGAUAGCACCCCAUCUCCAAGUCUCUGUGAGAAGACAGAGGCCUACCUUCAUAAGCAACAAUUCGCCAACACAAUGUGCCUAAUCAC
rnacentral:lncRNA from 1 species